UACGAAGGGGGCUAGCGUUGUUCGGAAUUACUGGGCGUAAAGCGUAGGUAGGCGGUUUUUCAAGUCAGGGGUGAAAUCCCAGAGCUCAACUCUGGAAUUGCCUUUGAAACUGAAAAGCUAGAGAGAGUUAGAGGCAAGUGGAAUUCCUAGUGUAGGAGUGAAAUCCGUAGAUAUUAGGAGGAACAUCAAUGGCGAAGGCAGCUUGCUGGGACUCUUCUGACGCUGAGCUACGAAAGCGUGGGUAGCAAACAGG
rnacentral:rRNA from 1 species